GCAUUCGUGGUUCAGUGGUAGAAGUCUUGCCUCCCAUGCAGGAGACUUGGGUUUGAUUCCAGGCCAACGCA
rnacentral:tRNA from 1 species